UGACCGCUAGCGGCAGGCCUACUACAUGCACGUCGGACGGGAUUCAGGAGCUUGCUUCUGAUGAGAGUGGCGCACGGGUGCGUAACACGUAUGUAACCUACCUUUAUCAGGGGGAUAGCCUCUCGAAAGAGAGAUUAAGCCCGCAUAAAAUCACAGCACAGCAUUGUGUAAUGAUCAAAUAUUUAUAGGAUAAAGAUGGGCAUGCGGAACAUUAGCUAGAUGGCGGGGUAACGGCCCACCAUGGCGACGAUGUUUAGGGGAUCUGAGAGGAUGGCCCCCCACACUGGUACUGAGACACGGACCAGACUCCUACGGGAGGCAGCAGUAAGGAAUAUUGGUCAAUGGGCGGAAGCCUGAACCAGCCAUGCCGCGUGCAGGAAGACGGCCCUACGGGUUGUAAACUGCUUUUAUACGGGAAUAAACCCAGAUACGUGUAUCUGGCUGAAUGUACUGUAAGAAUAAGGAUCGGCUAACCCCGUG
rnacentral:rRNA from 1 species